rnacentral:rRNA from 1 species
GAUGAACGCUGGCGGCGUGCCUAAUACAUGCAAGUCGAGCGAACGGACGAGAAGCUUGCUUCUCUGAUGUUAGCGGCGGACGGGUGAGUAACACGUGGAUAACCUACCUAUAAGACUGGGAUAACUUCGGGAAACCGGAGCUAAUACCGGAUAAUAUUUUGAACCGCAUGGUUCAAAAGUGAAAGACGGUCUUUCUGUCACUUAUAGAUGGAUCCGCGCUGCAUUAGUUAGUUGGUAAGGUAACGGCUUACCAAGGCAACGAUGCAUAGCCGACCUGAGAGGGUGAUCGGCCACACUGGAACUGAGACACGGUCCACACUCCUACGCGAGGCAGCAGUAGGGAAUCUUCCGCAAUGGGCGAAAGCCUGACGGAGCAAAGCCGCGUGAGUGAUGAAGGUCUUAGGAUCGUAAAACUAUGUUAUUAGGGAAGAACAUAUGUGUAAGUAACUGUGCACAUCUUGACGGUACCUAAUCAGAAAGCCACGGCUAACUACGUG